CUAUGUGGGACACCGCCUCAGCAUGGCUCGAUGAGCAGUGCCAUGUCUGAGCCCAGGAUCUGAACUGGUGAAACCCUGGUCACCAAAGUGGAGCAUGUGAACCUAACCACUCAGCAACGGGGCCAGCCUCCAGAGUCUCAGUUUUAAAUGGGUACCUGUUUCCAGAGCCCUAAACACUGUAAGACCCUUAAAUUAUGACUGGAACAGGCCUGCCAGAGGCAAUCCCAGUGGAUGUCUAAGAGAUGUCACAGAUGCCUAAGAUCAGGGUAGGAGGUAUCGCAUCCAUCACCCUGUAAGUGGGUAAACUCCUGAACCCAAUGCCGGGAUAAAAGGAAUAGGGCAAUCCCUACUCAUUAUAUGACCAUGAGGUAUCUUCCAGCUUCCCAGAGCAGGGAAUGGAAGGUCUUUCUCCCUGCCAAGACAGCACAAGCCGAAUGGGCCUUCAGCCAGCCAGCCAGUGAGGUCUCUCAACUGGCUAUCUGCUAAAACCCACCAUUUUUUCACUGCUCUGGAGGACACGGACAAUGAUCAGAACUAGAGAUUAGGAUAAGCAGGAGAUAAUUUCAGAGACAAAGUAAAUUCCAGAUCUUAGCCAUUCCUUAGUAUUUUGGAGGAAACCCAGGAGCAACUUUAACAUCAGAGGAAUACUGAUAAGUAACAAGCCUGUUUCUGCUAUCACAAACACACCCCACCAUUUUGGCAGAGGCCAGGCCUUUAUUCUUCAGCAACAGCAAUUGGCAGGAGGUGAUACCAUGCCAUGGCUCACAAUCAUUCAAAAGUGAUGUAUUAAAGAUCAAAUUCAGAGACUGAAAGGUGAUUAAGAAGUAUCCGUGUCUAAUUUAACUUGUUAAAAUGAGGUUGAACAAAGGUAACAGCUGAAGACAGCCUCUAUACAGAAUUUUUCCAACCACAAUGUAAGUUUCCAGAGGGCAAGGAUCAGAUCUUCUAUUUAGAGCUAUUUCUAUGCAGUGCCCUAUAAUAUGCUUUAUUCACCAUGGGCCUUACUGCUAAGGAGUGGAAGACAGAUGAUCAAGCCUGAGAGGCAAGGAACAGUGGUUCCAGUUUAUCUUCUUGCUUGCUUGCUUAAUCAAUAAGUAUGGUAAUUGUGAAAGGGAGAAAAGAUAUUGAAGACAAAAUUAAGGCCAGAAGAAAUCUGAAGCCACGCUAGUAUACCACAAGGGGGCAAUGUUUGAAUACCAGCAACCUGGAGACUAGGGGCCUCGGGAGUCGGAGUCGGCUCUCUAUUUACUUCCUUUUUGAACAUCAUGCUGAGAAGGCUGCAGCCUGGGUGGGGAAAGGUGGGCUGGCCUACCUUCUGCGUUCUCCUACAGGGGCUGGCACCAACUCUUCUUAUACCAGCAACAUGGCUGUCGGGGGACCAAGGCCAGAGGAAACAGACAGCAGGAGAGGAAGCAGAGCGGCUGGUCUUCCCACAGUGGUCAGACGGCCCAAGGUGUCUAGUCAUACCCAGGAGUGCCUGUUGAGGAGAGCACACCUGAGGGAUAUGACACAGUCCCAUAAGAACAGUGGCUCCCUAUGGCAGUGAUUCUCAACCAAGGGCUCAUUUCCAGAUCUUCAAAUGAGAUUGGGAAACUGAAGUUCAGAGAGGCUGACCUGCCCAAGAUCACAAAAUGGACCUGGAAGCAAUACUCAGGUCUUUAGUGCAGUGUUCUACAAUAGCAUUCCGUCUCUCAAACAAAAACCACUGAGGUUCAGAAGACAAAUUAUUACAGUGUCUAUGGGCAAAGGAGACAAUGAGGGAGGAAAGAGCUGCGCUAGGCUUCUCACUAAGAGCAGAG